rnacentral:rRNA from 1 species
UACGGGGGGGGCAAGCGUUGUUCGGAAUUACUGGGCGUAAAGGGCUCGUAGGCGGCCAACUAAGUCGGACGUGAAAUCCCCAGGCUCAACCUGGGAACUGCGUCUGAUACUGGAUGGCUUGAAUCCGGGAGAGGGAUGCAGAAUUCCAGGUGUAGCGGUGAAAUGCGUAGAUAUCAGGAAGAACACCCGUGGCGAAGGCGGCUCUCUGGGACGGUACUGACGCUGAGACGCGAAAGCGUGGGGAGCGAACAGG